AUCAAGAUCAUCAUUCUAAGUCACAUAUGUGCAGAAACUGUAAUGGAGGUAUGUUUUUUAAGUAUUCACUGUUUGUUUCUUUUCUUAUAAAUUUUUUUCUCAUAUUCCAACGAUGUAUUGAACGAAACAAGUAUUGAUAUAUAUUGCAUCAUAUUUCUUUACAUGCGAUAAAUACCGGAGAUAUUCUAUGUGAAUUGUACGAACCAUCAAUCAGCAAUGAAUAUCGUGCCGAGAUCCGUGACUUUACUCUACAACUUAUCCAAAAUCCACUGUCAUUUACAAUAUAUGGCAUUUUUGAUCUGGAUUAUUCAUUGAUACGUAUUGUCAUCGGUACCGUUACAACAUACCUUGUUAUUCUCAUUCAAGUUGGAAACGUACCACCAGAAUUCUCCAUUACAAAUUCAACGUUACCAACUACUGAUUUGUGAGAAAUUUAAGAUCAUUAUUAUCUUCAUAUAAAUUUAGGAGUCUGCAAAAAAAUCUUAUAAUCUUUACGGCAGUUAAAUAGUGGCCAAUUUAUAUUUUUUUGCAUGCUUAU